rnacentral:misc_RNA from 1 species
GAUGAAGAACGUAGAGAAAUGCGAUAAGUAAUGUGAAUUGCAGAAUUCAGUGAAUCAUCGAAUCUUUGAACGCACAUUGCGCCCCCUGGUAUUCCGGGGGGCAUGCCUGUCCGAGCGUCAUUACAACCCUCAAGCUCAGCUUGGUGUUGGGCCCCGCCGCCCCGGCGGGCCCUAAAGUCAGUGGCGGUGCCGUCCGGCUCCGAGCGUAGUAAUUCUUCUCGCUCUGGAGGUCCGGUCGUGUGCUCGCCAGCAACCCCCAAUUUUUUUCAGGUUGACCUCGGAUCAGGUAGGGAUACCCGCUGAACUUAAGCAUAUCAAUAAGCGGAGGA